rnacentral:misc_RNA from 1 species
CUUCUCCAACUACCACCUCAUCAUCACUACUGCUGUUACCGCCAUUAGCAGCUCCAUUCAAGUUUAUCUCGUCCAUUAUUUCCAUGGGUGAUGUACUCACAGGGGCAUUACCAACUCUAUCAUCUUGGAAUGCAAACCAGUUGGAAUUUGUGAAUAGACUCCCUUGGUCAUCACCAAGCCUCAGGGAUGAUAUAACAACUUCAGCAGACUCAUCAUCAAAGUAGACAUCCUCAUCAUCUCGAUCAAGGCCUCCAUGGUCCUCUUCAUUAUCCUUAUUCCCAUACAUUUUGUAUCUAAAAGCCUGGCUUAAGUUAUUCGCUAGUGCUGCUACAUCAUAAUCUCUGUCAUGAAGGUCAUCAUCAUCACUGUCCCUGGUCCUAUCUUGCAAUGCUGUUGGGCGGCCGCAUGCCCAUCGGUAGACAUUUUCAACUGCAUUACGCUCUUGCAAAAUGCUGCCCUGCCACUCAUUCCAUUCACUAUUUUCCUGUAGAUAUGUCUGAAUACGGCUAUUGGCGUUUCCCAACUGAACAAGUUUAUUAGAAAUUCGCGUAAUGUGACCAAGGUUUCCUGCUCGUGGUGCCCAUUUUCCUGCAGAAGGCACAGUUGGCUUAUUAGUAUCGCCUGAAAUAAUGGGGUUUUUAUCAGUUUGGAGAAUUUUUCCAAUGAAAUCACAUUCUCCAAGAAGAUGAACAACCAUAGCAUCACUCUUAGUUUCCAAGCAUGACGAUAUAAUGCUCUCCACAUGAUGAUGCAAUGCAUUAUUGUAUGGGUACUCAAAAAACAGAUCAAGGACCCGUUUAAUGGUUCCUGAGCUGACCAAUUCCCUCUCAGUAGCUUCAUUCCCCGUUCUUAAAAGCACCGCAAUGAACUCAACAAUCUUAAGGCGAUGCUUCCCAAGAGGAGGCUUCAGUUCUCCAUAUGUUGUAGGUAAAAUUUUAUCGUCAGACAACACAUUUAAUAGCAUAAGUAAGUCACCAAGUUUAGGCAGCAUUGCAUCAAUAGUCUCUGGAUUUACGGGGAUUGGAGACUCGUAAAUAUGUUGACUUCGAAAAGAAUGCAUCAAGGGGGGAGAAGUAGCAGAUCUUUUUGGAUCCAAUAAAGAUAUACACACAGAAAGUGAGUGAACAAGGCCAGAUUUUGAAUGUGAAUCUUCCAGCGCAUGGCCAAAUAUCCUUGAAACAAAACUUGGACUAGAGAGUUUAGUAGCCAAAGCCGAGGGAGCAUUUUGAGUUAUUGCACAUAAUGUCUCUGCUGCAUUAGCAUGAACUUCAGAAGGGCUUGAAGGACUCAAUUUGUCCACAAUCAUUUCUAGCAAAUUGCUAUCAGCCAACCAUUGCAUCACAUCAAUAAAAUUGGGAUAAACAUGAUCAUCUGCCCCCACCAACCGAACCAAAACCUCCAUGAUGGAUGUUAUUCCAAUUAAAUCAACCAGUUGGCGGAAAACAUCCUGAUGGGCUUGAACAUAUUUCAUAAGUGGGACAGUCUUGCGUACCAUAAGGCAAACAACCACCUUGCUGAAAUACCCAGCCAGCAAAGCACUAUGAGGUCGGUUUGGUUCCAAGAAAGAGAAGAGUAAGUUCAUUAGCUCCUCUUCCUCUACUAAAGUCUUAAGAAUAACAUCAAUUUCACAUGUAAAUAUCUCACAAGCGAUGAAGGGGAACUUGAAGGCACGUUUGCUUUCAGCAUCCUCUGGAGGUUCUUCAAUAAUAUACCGCAACAACUGCUCUACUUGGGCUCUGUCUCGUAGAAAAUUGAUGAGACGGCUGUUUAAAGCUUUGCAUUCUUGGAUUA